CCAUUACCAUCAAUAUUCGGUUACCUAUGCGUAUUCAUUUACCAUUUAAGUUAUGGUAGUAAAUAAUAACUUCGAAUUGGAUAACAUUUAAAUAACUCUCAGGAAAAAGGUUAUUUCUAUGAGAAAAAGGAAGAAAACUACAAGAAGAAAAAUUAAGUAAAUUAUAUAAAAUGCGAUAAGACACUUCAUAAAAAUUGAUGUUCCAAACUUGGGUUAAUGGCAUUUUGCCCCCCAAACUUUGACACGUUUUGCACAUUACCCCCUAGACUAAAAAAAUUUGCACGAUGCCCCCAAACUCUGUUAUUUGGAGCACCGAUCAUGAAAUCCAGAAUUUCCGGCCAAAAUUGCAGGUGUGGCAUUUACACGUGAUUUUUCCGGGGCAAAAUCGUGAAAUCAACUUUGUUCCUUUUUUACCACCAAUUGUAUUGCUCCACGUCAUCAUCAUCUUCAUAAUCAUUUCAUUUACCCAUUUUCUCCAUGACCGCAACAGAUUCACCCUAAUUUCCGGAAACACAUAAAUCAAGAUAAUUAUUGUUGUUUUGAUAGUAAAUGUUGUAUAUCAUUUAUAUAAAAUUCGUUUGAAGAGAGAGAAAUCUGAAUUCCCCAAGAAUAACACCCUCUUCCUGAAUCAUGAUAUUUUACCCAUCGAACAACCUCCAAGACAUUCAUAGGCCUUGGAAAUUGCAUAAUCCAAUUUUGUUGUAGCACUGAGAAAAUAUCGUACAAAGACACCAAUCUAUUUCUCUCUGCAAUAUAAAGCAACACCCAUCACCACCGCCGGAGCAAAAUCCACCAAUCUAUUUCCGGCAAAGUAAGUGGCCAAUUCCUCCCCUUGAACAUCGUUAGAUGUUCGAUUAUAGGACCCAAACCACUUGGCUUCCAAUUGGCUGGGCAGCAACACCAGAAACUGCAAUUCACAAUAUUUGUCGAAACGGUGUAAUAUACUCGGAUAGAUCGUGUUUGUUUGCCAUAUUUUUUUUUUUUUUUUAAAUUACUAGAGAAAAAGGGGGAAUGUAGAUUUGUUGAGGAGAUGGAUAAAUGAUAAUGGAUGUUGCUGAAAAUGGGUGAAUUUGCUGUUGUAAUGGAGAAAAUGGGCUAAUGAAAUGCUGAUGAAGAAGAUGAUUAUGUGGCGGAACAUAAUUGGUGGCAAAAUAAAUAAACUUGAUUUACCGAUUUUGCCCUUGAAAAAUCACGUGUAAGUGCCACGCAAGCAUUUCACGUGCAAUUUUGGCCGGAAAUUCUCAAUUUCACGGUCGGUGCUCCAAAUAACAGAGUUCGGGGGGCAUCGUGCCAAUUUUUUUAGUCUAGGGGGUAAUGUGCAAAACGCGUCAAAGUUUGGGGGGCAAAAUGCCAUUAACCCUCCAAACUUCUAAUGCAACAAAAUGAGAAUUAAAACACAAUAUUCGCUACAAGAUAUUGAAAAUAUAUUUUGAAGUAUGACAUUUAGG
rnacentral:lncRNA from 1 species